GAUGAACGCUGGCGGCGUGCCUAAUACAUGCAAGUCGAGCGAACAGACGAGGAGCUUGCUCCUCUGACGUUAGCGGCGGACGGGUGAGUAACACGUGGAUAACCUACCUAUAAGACUGGGAUAACUUCGGGAAACCGGCGCUAAUACCGGAGAAUAUAUUGAACCGCAUGGUUCAAUAGCGAAAGACGGUGGUGCUGUCACGAAUAGAUGGAUCCGCGCCGCAUUAGCUAGUUGGUAAGGUAACGGCUUACCAAGGCAACGAUGCGUAGCCGACCUGAGAGGCGGGUAGGCCACACGGGAGCUUAGACACCGUCCAGACUCCUACGGGACGGCGCAGUAGGGAAUGUUACGCAAUGGUCGAGAGUCUGACGGAGCAGCGGCGAGUGAGUGACGACGGUGUUCGGAUCGUAAAACUCUGUUACGAGUGGAGAACCACUGUGGAAGUAACUGUACACGUCUUGACGGUAACUGAUCAGAAAGCACCGGCUAACUACGUG
rnacentral:rRNA from 1 species